rnacentral:lncRNA from 1 species
UUGGGCUUAACGUAAAUCUCUUUCUCUCUUUUCUCUUUUUCUCUCUUCUCUUUCUCUCUUCUCUCUUUUUAUCUCUCUUUUUAUCUCUCUUGUCCUCUUCUCUCUCUCUUUCCUCUUUCACUGACGGCAGAAUCCUAUCUCGCGGUGUGUGUUUCACUCGUUUUCUCUUCUUCCCUCUUUCCUUCCCUUGUGGUCUCGCAUGACCAUGACCUUCCUCUUCCCCUCUUUCCUUCCCUUGUGGUCUCGCAUGACCAUGACCUUCCACUUCCCCUUUCUCUGUGGCCCCUCACGAUCACACUUUCUCUUCUCCUUUCUUGUGGUCUAGCAUGACCACAAUUUCUCUAUUUUUUUAUUCUUUUAUCCUCUGCAAGUCCACCUGUUCCCUGUGCAACCCUCGGGUCCACCUCCUCUUUCUUUCUCUGGUAGUCCCUCAUGUCCACCUCCCUUUCUUUUCUUUUUCUGUGAUCCCUCACCGCCUCUGUUGUGCACGCUCCUGUUACCUUUUUCCCUCUCACGCUCCAUGGUCCCGCGUGACCACCAUUUCCCAAAACCGUCCUUCCUAUCGCCGUAUGUGAAACCAUCCUUCUGAUUGUCGUCUGAGAAACCAUCCUUCCUAUAGCCGUCUGUGAAAGCCUCCUUCUUAUUGCCGUCUGUGAAACUGCCCUUCCUAUCGUUGCCUGUAAACCCACCUUACCGCCGUCUGUCAAACCUUAUCGCCGUAUGUGUAAUCCACCCUAUCGCAGCGGGUGAACCAACCCUUAUUGCCUGCUGUGCAUAAAUUCUUCCACCGAGCUGAGCCCUCUUCCUCUCUCCCCAACCUGGCUGUUGCCCUCACGUGGUGACCAUCACCAGCACCGAAGAUUAGUCCCGAUCCCUAUCAACAGUCAGGAACCCCUUGUGACUUCCAUUAGCAUCAUUAAGACCUCAGUCUCGUAUGCCUGUGAUUCCCAUCUACUCCACUUCUUUCGCUCUCUAACUUCCUGCAGCCAGGAGGCAACCUCGGCAGCCACGACCUUCCUCUCGCCAUCACACCACAGCUGCACCCCAGCUCACCACCUUCUCUCUAAUCCUCUGCGACCAUCCCCAAUUCACUGCUACCUCUAUCCUACCAUCUCUCUUCCCUCCUGCUACCACCACACCUUCUUCCUCAAACCACCCAUGAUUAACCCGAGCACUCCCACUUUCUUUCUCCUUCUGCUCCUCUCUUCUUCAUUUCACUGUCACCCAUGACCAGACCCCGAUCUUGCCUACCAGAUGAAAUUGCAGCUGCAGCAGCCACCCCUUCCAUUCACUGCUUUCUCUACGCCACUUGCAGCUUGCCAUCUCCACCCACCUAAUCCUCUGCUGCUCAGCCACCUCCGCCACUCUCCGUCAGCUGUCUCCCUCAGCCUUCUCCGCCAAUUCCUGUCACUGUCACCCUCCUUUCUCCCCAUCUUCUUCGCUGUGGCCAACCUCACUCGCUUACCUGCGACCAUCACCACCAGCCUGCUUCUCUCUUCUUCACUUCCACUCAUCUGCAGCCAAGCCACUCCCACUCUUUGCAACUUGCGUCCACUUUCUGCUCUCCGCUCUCUGUAACUUCCCAUUUUUUCUCUCUAAGACCCCCGAACGAAACCCAAUCUCCGCUUUCACUUUCUUUCUUUUCAUUUUAGUUUUCAUUAGUUUUCGUUUCGUUUCAUCUCCUCCAUACCCUUUAUUUCGUCCUUAUCUAACCGUCC